GGUCAGUAGGUUGGUCGUGCCACCGGUACGUACUGGUCUCACUGAUUCCUCCUUCCUGAAGAACCUUAAUGCCAUUAAUUUGGUGUUGCUGGGAAACAGGACUGUUACUUUGAAAAAAUUAGAGUGUUUAAAGCAAGCUAACGCUUGAAUACAUUAGCAUGGAAUAAUGAAAUAGGACGAUCGAUCCUAUUUUGUUGGUUUCUAGGAUUGACGUA
rnacentral:rRNA from 1 species